GGCGGUUCUCAGGUAACACACCCCGGAAUUGGGCUCCUUCCUCUCUGGUUCGGGGUGCAUCACUCGAGAACCACA
rfam:Myotis davidii contig62853, whole genome shotgun sequence.